UUAAGUUCAGCGGGUAGUCCUACCUGAUUUGAGGUCAGAGUCUAAAAGUGCACGAUGGCAGGUUAGGAGCAGACUCAGACAGCAAGGGACGAGACGAAACUUAUUACGUCUGUCACGGAUGCAGAGAGAUCCACUAAGUCAUUUGAGACGAGCCGUGUAACCGGCAGCGUCCAAGUCCAAGUCCCAGCCCAGAUCAUAAA
rnacentral:misc_RNA from 1 species